CCGUUCUUGCGUGAGGUGACCAGAAUUUUAGAAACAUCGUUCACAGAGUAAUGAUGGUGGUGGUUCUGUUUAAUGGUUGCUAAUCUUUGGGGUUUAAAAACUUUGAAAGUUGGGUACCGUUAAUAUGGUAAUUCAGACGGAGAACAGUUGCUACAAGAAACUCUU